GAUGAACGCUAGCGACAGGCUUAAUACAUGCAAGUCGAGGGGCAGCACAGGUAGCAAUACUGGGUGGCGACCGGCAAACGGGUGCGGAACACGUACACAACUUACCUUAGAGUGGGGGAUAGCCCAGGGAAACUUGGAUUAAUACCCCAUAAAACAGGGGGCCCGCAUGGGCAUAUUGUUAAAGAUUUAUCGCUUUAAGAUGGGUGUGCGUAUGAUUAGGUAGUUGGUAGGGUAAAGGCCUACCAAGCCGACGAUCAUUAACUGGUGUGAGAGCACGACCAGUCACACGGGCACUGAGACACGGGCCCGACUCCUACGGGAGGCAGCAGUAAGGAAUAUUGGUCAAUGGACGGAAGUCUGAACCAGCCAUGCCGCGUGAAGGAUGAAGGUCCUCUGGAUUGUAAACUUCUUUUAUAGGGGGCGAAAAAGGGCCAUUCUUGGUCAACUGACGGUACCCUAUGAAUAAGCACCGGCUAACUCCGUGCCAGCCGCCGCCGUAAUAC
rnacentral:rRNA from 1 species